GUGCCCACGUCACUCAGGGAGCACAUACACUAAAACUGGAACCGGGCAGAGGAGAUUAGCACUGCCUUUGCACAAGGAUGACACGCAAAGGAAGGCUGCUUCCUCUGUAAAU